rnacentral:lncRNA from 1 species
AGUUCAGUGAGUAGUUAUUGAAGGGCAUGAAUGUUCCAAGCCAAGGAGGGGUUUUCUUCGUCUGAAUGCCAAACUACCCUGCCCCUUUUAUCUCAAAAAAGCUACAGUGGCCCUCAUUGGUCACCGUACCCAGUAAUAAGAAAGCCUUGAAUUGCCUGAGAGGAAGAAAAUGACUGUCUGUAUAAGCUAUAGGUUUAUUAGCUGUCUUGCAAAUAACUGUGACAAAGGAUCUUUACUUGCACAAAGAAAUGAAAGCCGAAUGUCCUUACUUUCCAAGCUCCCAGCUUUACUGAGCAGAUUGGG